rnacentral:rRNA from 1 species
UACAGAGGUCUCAAGCGUUGUUCGGAUUCAUUGGGCGUAAAGGGUCUGUAGGUGGCCAACUAAGUCAGACGUGAAAUCCCUCAGCUUAACUGGGGAACUGCGUCUGAUACUGGAUGGCUUGAGUGUGGGAGAGGAAUGCGGAAUUCCAGGUGUAGCGGUGAAAUGCGUAGAUAUCUGGAGGAACACCGGUGGCGAAGGCGGCAUUCUGGACCAUAACUGACACUGAGAGACGAAAGCCAGGGGAGCAAACGGG